ACUCCUACGGGAGGCAGCAGUGGGGAAUAUUGGACAAUGGGCGAAAGCCUGAUCCAGCCAUGCCGCGUGUGUGAAGAAGGUCUUCGGAUUGUAAAGCACUUUAAGUUGGGUAGGAAGGGCGAGUAAGUUAAUACCUUGCUGUUUUGUACGUUACCAACAGAAUAAGCACCGGCUAACUUCGUGCCAGCAGCCGCGGUAAUACGAAGGGGUGCAAGCGUUAAUCGGAAUUACUGGGCGUAAAGCGCGCGUAGGUGGUUCAGCAAGUUGGAUGUGAAAUCCCCGGGGCUCAACCUGGGAACUGCAUCCAAAACUACUGAGCUAGAGUACGGUAGAGGGUGGUGGAAUUUCCUGUGUAGCGGUGAAAUGCGUAGAUAUAGGAAGGAACACCAGUGGCGAAGGCGACCACCUGGACUGAUACUGACACUGAGGUGCGAAAGCGUGGGGAGCAAACAGGAUUAGAUA
rnacentral:rRNA from 1 species